AUUGCAAUUUGAAUUCAAAAGCCCAAAUUACACACAGCACAAAGCAUUCCACACUCACUCUCCCAUUAGGGCUGCGAUGAAGGAGGUUCUCACGACGAGCUUUUGUUCUUAUGUUUCUUAUUUCUAUUUUUUCUUACUACUCGGUUUGUAAUAAUGAUUUGUUUUUUGAUAUUUCUUCUGUUUAUCUGUUUCUUUCAUGGAUUUUAGGGGUUUUUCAAUCAUCUCAAUCUGGAUAGUUUUCCUUCAUCGAAAGGUUUCAAAUGGAAAAGAAGAAGGCAAAAUGUGGAAACCAAUAAAGAAAACAUAAAACCAUCUGAAGAGGGAAAUCCUAGCACUGGUAGUCUGUUAAGCACAACCGAACAGAAUUAUCAAACUCCUACAAGGCCUCUAUCUGCUCUAUCAAAUCAGAGCUCUGUGCUGAAUAUUUGUCCACAGAACGGUGAUGGCUCGCUGCUAGAGGCAUGUGCCAAGUUGAAGCUUUAGAUCAGAUGGCCUGGAUUGUGUCACAUUGCCUACUUUUCACUUUCCGCAUUGUUUGCAGCUGCAGUGUACAUCAAGAUGAAGAAACCAAAUACUGCUAUAAGAGAUGCCAAUACUGCUUUAGAGGUAGUUCAUAGUCUCCUAAAUGUGCUCACAUUGUAAUUUUAUAUGGUCAAUAUUAAUACUAAAAGCAUAUAUCUCUCAGUGCAAUUUGUUAAUGAAGUUCCCCCUACAGACUGAUCGGCUUGCAUGAUAUACAUAGUUUACAAAUUUCCGGUAUUAAAUUUAUUUGCUUUGUGUUUAACUGUUACAGAAUAUUGUAUUUGAUUAUGUGAGAGUUAUUGGAGCCUUUUGUUUUACGACUUGAGGUUAAAAAAUGAAACCCAAGAGCAAGUAGUUAAGGCGUGUAAGUAUUUGAGUUG